CAUUUAAACAGCUUUUAACUUUUAUUUACACUAAAAUAUUAGGAACAUAAUGAUAUAUUUUGAUUAGUAAGCUAAAUAAAUGAAUCCCAAAAACUAGUUCGUUUCUAUGACCCAUUUCACUGAAAUACUUGUAACUUUAUUAAAUUUAGGUUGAAGAAAUGUCUCAAUGUGAAUUUGUGUAAACCAUUUUACUGUUCAUUUAUUGAACGUCAACCUGUAUCACCUGGUAAAAGAAGGCGCAUGUUAAAAUAAUGCUGUGCAAAAAGCCUGUUUAAAAUUUAUAAUUUGUACAAAAUCAUAACGUGUAAGCAACAUAUACCAAGAGGCCAAAAUCUUAUUAUCAAUACUACGGUGGAUUCAUUUAUUUUCGUGGGUACCAAUUUUCGUGGAGGAAGGAAAACUCAAUGCUUAUGUUCUCGGGACCUUUAAUUUUGUGGUUUUGACAAAGUCUUCAUACAAGCCUGUAGAAAAUUUGUCAUUCGUUGGACAUUUAAUUUUGUGGUACACCUAUAACCACGAAAAUUGGUAUCCCAACGAAUAAUUGUGAAUCCACAGUAUUAAUUUUUUUAACAUAUUUCUUUUUUUUGAACUUUACAACUUGAUUAUUUCUAUGUUAGUAUUUACUAUAUAUAAUUAAAUGAGACAUGUGUCAUAAAUCUACAGCACUUUGUCAAAACAUUAUCUAAAUUUAGAGAUUAAGAAUAUUCUAGAGCACACGAUUAAACAAUACCCUUUCACCAGUGCCAAAUAUAAAGGAUUACCCGUGCAGUUCGAUUUUUUCUCUCCUUGUUACAGAAAUUUAGUAAAAAUGUUAAAAUGAUAUACUAUUAGGUCUUUUUUACUAUUGUAAAUUCCAAAGAAACAAACAGAAAAAUAUCAAAAAUUACAUUGGAGAUCAUUUAAGCAGUAAGAGCUAAAUGCAUCAAAAAUUCAAACUGUUUAUUUUAUUUUUCAUCAUAAUUUGUCAGUGUAAAUUAGCAUACUGAAUAAUUUUAUUAAAUUUAAUGUACAGUGAGACCUGGCUAAACCGAAUCCUGCAUAAAUCGGAAACCUGUAUAAACCAAACAUGUUCUUAAGCACCGUCAUAUCAAAUUAUGUGCAUUGAGAACCUGAUAAAACUGAACAUAGGCCAAAACGGAACAAAGUCUUAAGUCCCGAAAAGGUUCGGUUUAAACAGGUUACACUGUAUCAGUAUUUGACCAGCACCUGUUAACACAUUUUCCCAUCUAAAACAACUAGCCUUUCCCUCAACUAAAAAACUAUGAAUACCCCUAUUUCAGCAACUAUACAAUUACUUUUUAUUUUAAAAUUAAGUUGGCUAGUAAUGGUAAGUUUUUGGUUGAAAUUUGUUCUGUAUAUGGUCAGUACUGAGUAGUCCUUUUCAAUGCAAAAAAGGACAUUGGGUAAAGAAGACUAGAAUCAUCAUAAAAAAUCAGACAAUUAAUUUCAGUAGACCAGUGGCAUCCAAGUUUAAAGGCUGUUAAAAAUGGACAAACAGUAAAAUGUUUUUAAUAAUACUUCAGCUGUGUAGCUCCAGAAAUAAUUGAAAGUUCCUGAGAUUGCUCAGAUUGCCAAUUGGCUGUUUCAGAAUCUAAAGUACUAUGGGUAAUUUCAUUGUUCGUACCCAAAAUGAAAAUAACGUCACAUCAUUGGUUGAAUUUUCAUUGUUUUGGACGUUUUCAACCAAUCACAACGUUUUGGUGUACACUUCUGAAAAUAUUACCCACAAUUCAUUAGAUUUUGAAACAGCCAAUUAUGAUAACGAAGCACCACAUUACAAUUCUUGCAUCCAAAAUGGUUUCUGGUUAAUAAUAAGUAAUUACUUACAAGAUGAUUCAGUUUUACCAAAGAAUAAUAAAAAAAAUACCCUUUUAGCAAAUAUAUUUUUUAAUACGAUACAAAAAAUCUAUUCUAUAAACUAAAAUAUCUUGGUUUUUAGAACAAAAAAAAAAUAUUUUCUAGUAGGAUAUCAUCAGCUUAUUUUAUUUGAAUAAAAACUUAAAGCAAGAAUAUAUUGAGAUUUCUUUAAUAUAUACUGGAUGGACUGACAAAAAGAUAAAGACUAUGAGUGAUGAUGACAAAAUGACAAAAAUCUAUCUACAAUAUAAUGCUUUUAUUAACCAUUUGCAAGUGCUAUUAACCAAUAGGAAAACCUACUACAUGUAAAAACAGUACAAUAGAUAUUCAAAUUUUCUGCUUUGUCUAUUACAGAGAUGUUUUUUUAUUAUUUGCUGUUGAAUUUUUUUUCUUCAAAACUGGAAAAUUCUUAAACAAUAAAUUAUUAUUAACUGGAUUUUGAAGUUAAUUUUGUUAUAUAAUCAUCCAAAUGAAAUUGCCUCAUUAAUUUUUUUUUUGUAAAUAAUUUAUUUGUGGUUUGUCAUCUAAAUGGGGAUCAGCAAAGAUUCAUGAAAAAUUAUUUUUAGCAUCUGAAUGUCUCAGUACCUAUCACCCAAUAAAUUAUACACAUGACCAUUCACCUCAACUAAUUAACAUAUUUAUAUUCUACUGCAAACAAUCUAUCAUUAUGAUCUUGAUGCGUAAACAUGUAAACUAUUUGAAAAUGACACGAUAAAGACCAAAAUAGAAGAAGCUCUUGUAUUCCAUACUGAAUAGACAAUUUUAUGCAAUGAUGGAAGUUCUAAAGAAGAUAGUGUUAGCCAUCUAACCUACCACCUGAUUUCACCAGAUUCCCCCGUUUUACUUUUUUCUUCUUAAGGUGGUACCUAACACUACAGGGAGAUAACUCUGUAAAAUCAGCUAAACGUUUUAAUCACGUUGUGUUGUUAAGAGAAUAUAAAGCUUCUCAAUGAUCAAAAGUAGUGUUUGUCAAACUGCUAUGUAACCAGUGUAUUUUUUCUGAUAAAACGGUUGGUUCAAAUUUUUUGAAAUUUUUAUAUUUGUGUCCAAUGGUCAAGUUAAAAACUUUGUCAAAAUUUUAUGAAAAUUAAACGAGCCAAAUUAAUUUUAGUGAAAGUGUUGGGUACCACCUUAAGAAGUAUAUAAAUAUUAUUCUCGUGUAUGCUAUGCAAAAUAUUUCAAGACCAUGGCUAUAUCAUGGCGGUCAGUGUUCUGUUGAUGUAGGAAGCUGGCAUCCAAUUGAUAACCACCAUACUUUAAACAAUAUCAAUAGCAAUUUUGUCAUUUAACAUCUUAAAGCAUCUAGACGUGAGCAGGGUUUGAACUCAAAAUCUCAAAAGUUGAAAGGAUAAUGAUCACUGUGGUUGAUCUUAUUUGCCACUGUGGCCCAAUGGGUAAUAUGCAACAAUACUAAAACUGAUAGGGUCUGAAGCUCAUGAAAAUUGAUAAAAGUACUGAAACUGCUGAUGGUUUUAAGAUCACAAUUUUUUAUUUUUUUUUGUCUUUCCUAUUUACCAUACUGAUAUGGUCUGAAACUCCGGAAAAUUAAUAAAAGCACUGAAACUGCUAAUGGUACUAGAUCACAACAAUUUUUUUAAUUUUUUUAAUUUUUUUUUUUUCCUAUUUACCAUUCUGAUAAGGUCUGAAACUCAGGAAAAUUGAUAAUAGCAUUGAAACUGCUGAUGGAGAUACAAUCACAACUAUGUUUUUUCUUUCUUUCCUAUUUACCUUAUUAUAUACAAAUUGAAAGCACAUUAUAAAAUAAAAUUAUAUGAUAUGAAAAACUCUUCCUUGUCAUAUAUAAAGAAACAAAAUAUGAUAAUACAUUUACAUAAAAUAUAUGAACAUUUAAAUAGCACUUAAUUGGCAAAGACAAAUAAAAUAAACAAACAAAAUCACAUUUAUCAAUAGACACAACAUCUAAAUCACAAAACAUAUCACAAAAUUAAUAUAAGAAUGUAUUUUUUGUAGUCCAACAAAGGAAAAUUUACUAAUUUCAAUGAAGUUCCAGGUGAUGCUAUUUGAAAUUAAAAUUUCAUUUAUCUUUGCAUGCUGUAAAUAUCAGCAACAAAAAAGAAACUUGCACAAAGCAAUUCAACUACUGUAGAUUCAUUUAUUUUCGUGGGAACAAAUUUUCCUGGAUUGAGGAAAACUUGCAUUUUCAUGGAUAUUUGAUUUCAUGGUUUUGCAAAGUUCUGCAUAAGGUGGUACCUAACACAACAGGGAGAUAACUAUGUAAAGUCAUCUAAACGUUUUAAUUACGUUGUGUUGUAAAAGGAAUAUUUAGCUUCUCAAUGAUCAAAAUUGGUGUUUGUCAAACUGCUAUAUAACCAGUGUAAUUUUUCUGACAAAACGGUUGGUUCAAAAAUUUUGAAUUUUUUAUAUUUUUGUUAAAGGAUCAAAGUACAUACUUUGACAAAAUUUUAUGAAAAUUAAACAAGCCAAAUUAAUUUUAGUGAAAGUGUUGGGUACCACCAUAAAUGCCUAUUCAAAUUUGUUAUUUGUUGGACAUUUGAUUUCGUGGUUCAAGGGUUACUACAAAAUCCACUAAUAUUGGUAUCAAAAGAAUAAUAAUAAAUCCACAGUAUAUGUUAAUGGUUAUGAUAGAAAAAUGCUGUGUUUGCAGUUAAUGAUCUAAUCCUAUUUGUUUGUACACCAAGAACCAUCCAAAAUCCAAAAAAAAAAUGAUGCUUCAUUUUUAUGGAAAGUUAUUUUACAAAAUUUUGACCCAUUGACCAUUCCCACUUAUCUUCAUAUAAAUCUGGAACCACAACGUUUUUCUCUCGAUGCCUAAAGCUAUUUAGUAAAACAAUAUUAUUGUUAAUUGUCUAAAUUACCUCUAAAAUUAUCUACAUUGACAAGCAAAUUCCUUGUAAACAUAACAAUUUAAACUGAAAAUGAAAUCCAAAGCUAAAUUACAGCAGAUAAUACAAAUUACCAUCACAUCAAAACGUAAACAAACAUCUCACAGAUCAUUAUACUUUUAACCAGAUUCUUCCAAGAUUAUGCAUAAUAUAAAACAAAAUAAAUUUAAUGAUUCAAAAUCAAAUGCAUUCUCGGUAAUAUUUUUAAAUUGUACACCAUAUUGCUUUGAUUGGUUGAUAUUUUCUUAAACAAUUGAUCUUCAACCAAUGGUGGGAAGUUAUAUUCAUUUUGGCGUAAAACCAAUGAAAUUACCCACAAUUCUUUGAAUCUGGUGAAUUACCAAUGUAAUAUAUAAGGAAUGGAAUGCAAUUAUCUGUAAACAAAACAAUAAAUGUACCUUAACAUAGUUUGAUAAAUAUCAAAUUAUUUUAUCAAAUAUAUUGGCUGGCAAGAUGAUCAUGAUUUUUCUUUGUUGUAAAAAAUAUAAAAUGUGUGAAGCAAAGAUUCCAUGACCUCCAAAAUAAUGUGGGGUUUUACAGUAAUUUAAAUGUCUAACUAUGGUUAUAAUUUCCACACAAUAUAUAAACAAAUUUGUAUCUUACCCAACUUUAACUUGUUAGAUAUAUAUUUUGAAAAUGACAUGUUGCAUUGGUUUUUAUUUUUCAUUUAGCACAGCUUAAACUAAAGCUGAAGUUGUUAUUUAAUUCUUGUGUUACAAUGGCUUGUUAAGUUUUUUAUCUUCCGUUUCUUGUAUAAGAAAUUCAGAUAGUGAAGUGUCCCAAAAUGUUACCCAUAUUUGUAAGGAUGAAAAAAUGGUCCAAAAUAUGAAUCAACAAAUCUUUGUUAACUAAAAACAAAAUAUCACAUAAAUCUGUUACUAUGGUAAUGUAUCAUACUCCCUCAAAUACAAAAAUAUAAUCCUUUUAUUCUAAUCCUUCACAAAAUAAUGAAAUCUCUCAACAAUUUCUUAAAAAUCUAAAUAAAGAAUUGUAUGCUAACAAUACAAUACACAAUGGCAGUACUUAUGGGUAUACUAAUAUGGUUUAUGAAUACACUUUUUUUUAAGUCCUGCCCCUAAAGUUGCCAUGAUGGGGCCCCAUUUUCAAAAUCCUAGAUAUGCAAACACCACAGUUUUUAACUCAAUGAAACAAAACAACAAACAUCACCAUUUCAAUGAUUUCUACAACAAUUUUUUUUUGAUGUUUAGCCUUCAUUUUUUCUUUCUUUUCAUGUACAGCACCUUAACAAAGCACAACAACUGAACAUUUUCAUUAAUAUAGAGACAUUUGAAAUAUUUUCAAACUACAAUAGCAAUAAAAGAAGAUUAAAGAUUAAAUUAAAUAUAAACGCUGUCAAUCUAUUUUUGGCUUGUUUAUCCAGGCACUUUAAGAAAUAAUGCUAACAUUAAGUUUUGAUAUAAUUACAUUUAGUGGUAAAUUCUGUAACUAUGUGAACAUAAAGAAAAAUAUCACAUUUUUCCAAAAACAAAAGAGAUUCAGUUAUAUAUAAGUCAUUCAGUAUUACAACCAAUUGGAAACAAUUCUCAUAGAGUUUUAAAUUAAAUUUUUGAAUCAAAUUUUUAAAUCAAAUUUUUAAAUCAAAU
rnacentral:lncRNA from 1 species